rnacentral:rRNA from 1 species
AGCGAACGCUGGCGGCAGGCCUAACACAUGCAAGUCGUACGGACCCUUCGGGGUUAGUGGCGGACGGGUGAGUAACACGUGGGAACGUGCCUUUAGGUUCGGAAUAGCUCCUGGAAACGGGUGGUAAUGCCGAAUGUGCCCUUCGGGGGAAAGAUUUAUCGCCUUUAGAGCGGCCCGCGUCUGAUUAGCUAGUUGGUGAGGUAAAGGCUCACCAAGGCGACGAUCAGUAGCUGGUCUGAGAGGAUGACCAGCCACAUUGGGACUGAGACACGGCCCAAACUCCUACGGGAGGCAGCAGUGGGGAAUCUUGCGCAAUGGGCGAAAGCCUGACGCAGCCAUGCCGCGUGAAUGAUGAAGGUCUUAGGAUUGUAAAAUUCUUUCACCGGGGACGAUAAUGACGGUACCCGGAGAAGAAGCCCCGGCUAACUUCGUGCCAGCCGCCGCGGUAAGAC